UGCAGUCGAGCGGCAGCGGGAGGAAGCUUGCUUCCUCGCCGGCGAGCGGCGGACGGGUGAGUAAAUGUCUGGGGAUCUGCCCGAUGGAGGGGGAUAACCACUGGAAACGGUGGCUAAUACCGCAUAACGUCGCAAGACCAAAGUGGGGGACCCUUCGGGCCUCACACCAUCGGAUGAACCCAGAUGGGAUUAGCUAGUAGGUGGGGUAAUGGCUCACCUAGGCGACGAUCCCUAGCUGGUCUGAGAGGAUGACCAGCCACACUGGAACUGAGACACGGUCCAGACUCCUACGGGAGGCAGCAGUGGGGAAUAUUGCACAAUGGGCCGCAAGCCUGAUGCAGCCAUGCCGCGUGUGUGAAGAAGGCCUUCGGGUUGUAAAGCACUUUCAGCGAGGAGGAAGGUGGUGAACUUAAAUACGUUCAUCAAUUGACGUUACUCGCAGAAGAAGCACCGGCUAACUCCGUGCCAGCAGCCGCGGUAAUACGGAGGGUGCAAGCGUUAAUCGGAAUUACUGGGCGUAAAGCGCACGCAGGCGGUUUGUUAAGUCAGAUGUGAAAUCCCCGAGCUUAACUUGGGAACUGCAUUUUGAAACUGGCAAGCUAGAGUCUCGUAGAGGGGGGUAGAAUUCCAGGUGUAGCGGUGAAAUGCGUAGAGAUCUGGAGGAAUACCGGUGGCGAAGGCGGCCCCCUGGACGAAGACUGACGCUCAGGUGCGAAAGCGUGGGGAGCAAACAGG
rnacentral:rRNA from 1 species